rnacentral:rRNA from 1 species
UAGGAGGACUGCCGGUGACAAACCGGAGGAAGGUGGGGAUGACGUCAAGUCAUCAUGGCCCUUACGGCCUGGGCUACACACGUGCUACAAUGGUCGGUACAAAGGGUUGCCAAGCCGCGAGGUGGAGCUAAUCCCAUAAAACCGAUCGUAGUCCGGAUCGCAGUCUGCAACUCGACUGCGUGAAGUCGGAAUCGCUAGUAAUCGUGAAUCAGAAUGUCACGGUGAAUACGUUCCCGGGCCUU